rnacentral:rRNA from 1 species
AACGAACGCUGGCGGCGUGCUUAACACAUGCAAGUCGAACGCGAAAAUUUUCCUCGGAAAGUGAGUAGAGUGGCGCACGGGUGAGUAACGCGUAAGUUAUCUACCUCGGCAUCUGGAAUAACUCACCGAAAGGUGUGCUAAUACCGGAUACGUUGAGCAAUCAAGAAAGGUGGCCUCUGAAUAUGCUACUGUGCUGAGAUGAGCUUGCGUACCAUUAGCUAGUUGGUAGGGUAAUGGCCUACCAAGGCAACGAUGGUUAGCGGGUCUGAGAGGAUGAUCCGCCACACUGGAACUGAAACACGGACCAGACACCUACGGGUGGCUG